rnacentral:rRNA from 1 species
UAGUCCUAGCAGUAAACGGUGCGCGUUUGGUGUAGGGGGAUUCGACCCCCUCUGUGCCGGAGCUAACGCGUUAAACGCGCCGCCUGGGGAGUACGAUCGCAAGAUUAAAACUCAAAGAAAUUGACGGGGACCCGCACAAGCGGUGGAGUAUGUGGCUUAAUUCGAUGCAACGCGAAGAACCUUACCUGGGUUUGACAUGCUUGUCGUAGUCCUACGAAAGUAGGACGUCGGUUCGGCCGGACUUGCACAGGUGCUGCAUGGCUGUCGUCAGCUCGUGUCGUGAGAUGUUGGGUUAAGUCCCGCAACGAGCGCAACCCCCGUGAUUAGUUGCCAGCACGUAAUGGUGGGGACUCUAAUCAGACUGCCCAGAUCAACUGGGAGGAAGGUGGGGACGACGUCAAGUCAGUAUGGCCCUUAUACCCAGGGCUGCACACGUACUACAAUGCCCAGUACAAUGUGAACCGAUACCGCGAGGUGGAGGAAAUCCUUAAAACUGGGCUCAGUUCGGAUUGGAGGCUGC